rnacentral:tRNA from 1 species
UGGGGAUAGCUCAGUGGUUAGAGCUUAGGUCUCGUAACCGGAAGGUCGCGGGAUCAAAUCCCGUAGAGGCAG